GGCUCAGUGGCGAAGUGGUUAGCAUCUGCAAAAAGUUCCAGAGAAUCUUUGUCUGAUGAUGCAGAAAAAUAUUGGUUCGAUUCCAGCCUGAGUCA